AUUGAACGCUGGCGGCAGGCCUAACACAUGCAAGUCGAACGAGCGGCGGCCGGGAGAGUAAUGUAUGGGGACUGCCCGAUAGAGGGGGAUACCUACUGGAAACGGUGGCUAAUACCGCAUACUAGCGGAUAACCCAUAUGGGAUUAGCUAGUCGGUGGGGUAAAGGCUCACCUAGGCGACGAUCUCUAGCUGGCCUGAGAGGAUGAUCAGCCAAACUGGGACUGAGACACGGCCCAGACUCCGACGGAGGCAGCAGUGGGGAAUAUUGCACAAUGGGCGCAAGCCUGAUGCAGCCAUGCCGCGUGUAUGAAGAAGGCCUUAGGGUUGUAAAGUACUUUCAGCGGGGAGGCGUUACCCGCAGAAGAAGCACCGGCUAACUCCGUGCCAGCAGCCGCGGUAAGAC
rnacentral:rRNA from 1 species